rnacentral:rRNA from 1 species
GAUGAACGCUGGCGGCGUGCCUAAUACAUGCAAGUCGAGCGAACAGAUGAGGAGCUUGCUCCUCUGACGUUAGCGGCGGACGGGUGAGUAACACGUGGAUAACCUACCUAUAAGACUGGGAUAACUUCGGGAAACCGGAGCUAAUACCGGAUAAUAUAUUGAACCGCAUGGUUCAAUAGUGAAAGACGGUUUUGCUGUCACUUAUAGAUGGAUCCGCGCCGCAUUAGCUAGUUGGUAAGGUAACGGCUUACCAAGGCGACGAUGCGUAGCCGACCUGAGAGGGUGAUCGGCCACACUGGAACUGAGACACGGUCCAGACUCCUACGGGAGGCAGCAGUAGGGAAUCUUCCGCAAUGGGCGAAAGCCUGACGGAGCAACGCCGCGUGAGUGAUGAAGGUCUUCGGAUCGUAAAACUCUGUUAUUAGGGAAGAACAAAUGUGUAAGUAACUAUGCACGUCUUGACGGUACCUAAUCAGAAAGCCACGGCAACUACGUG